CCCCCGCUAAGUUUCAGAUAGUGUCUUGGGAGAUCCUUGGAAACUUACUGUGUUUUUGUUGUUUGAAACCAAGUUACAGUCUUCAAAUGAAAGUCUUCUGUACCAGAAGAUAUUCUGUAUUACUGGAGAAUGACCAAGUAAAUAUUGGAGUGCUGCCAUCAAGGUCAAGAUUUCUUUCUCCCAAGUGUAUGAAGAGAACUUCCUGACACUAAGCAAUGACAUGAUGCAUUUAAUUGUAUGAGGAAGAAAAAGAACUAUCAGCCUUUGAAAACAAACAAACAAACAAACAAAAAAACCCCACCAUCAUUACUGGAGGAAACAUAUUCUGCAAAAGAAAUUGCAUCUGGGAAAAAAGCUUCUCUGAAGAUAAUCGUAUCAUAUUUAUCUAAUCCAGCCUUAGGACUUGGACAGUGAAAUACAUGAAAGCCCAAUCUCUAAAAAUAUUUCUGGGCAUAAAAAUGAUAUAUAUAUAAUUUUUUCUAUAUUCUUUUCUGUAUUUGAAGCAUUUAAUGCAUUCCACUGCAUUAAGCUUUUUCUCACAUAUUAACAGAUGUAACAUCCAUGUAACUUAGUGAUAAUCUUGCUUGUUGGUCAUAAUAUGUCUGUCAAGAAUCACUGGUUCUGUGAUAUUAGCAUUUGCUACAUUUAGCAGUACCCAUUGUUCUGUACUUGGUAAGCAAAGACUUAAUGAUCAUACUGAAUGGUCUAUAUUUUAAUAUGGAAGAAACAGUGCAGAUGCAGUUAUCAUCUUGUCUCCCAGGCUGAAUAGACACAGAAACAGUGGCUCACAGUUCUAAAGUGAGAAACUUAUUUUCUUUCUGAAGCUCCUUUCAUUACAUGUCUGACAUCAUAUGAAAUGCUAAGUUUACAGUCUUUCUGAGGAGAAGACAGUCUACACAGGCUGCCCAUCGGCUUGCUACAAGAAAGUGGCAAAUAAUGUCAGCUGUGGACUUCUCAGGUGGUGUCAAAAAUGUUGAUCAUUCGACUGUGUCUGUCAGUUCCUUAGUGGCUCAUGUACAAGCUAAUUUUUAUCAAUAUUUUUCAAUCUUCUAAAAAUGAUUAAUUUUGGUCUAACACUGGAAGAUAACUAUAUUCCAGAAGUAAACUCCAUUCUUGUACUCUCAGAGUUAAGCUUUCUUCAAUACAUGUAGUGAUAGACAUUUGAUUUUUAUCAAGUAAUGUAGUUUUAAUGACAUAUUUAGGGUAGUGUUUCUUAUUAUCAGAAUGUUGGAUUCUAAGACAAAGUUCUAGCAGUAACUCUGUCAUAAAUUAUCAACAUAUAUGUCUGAAGAAACAUGUAGCCUUAUUUUGGUGAACAUUUCUUGUUGACUGAAACAGGUUUUCUUUCUGGAUAUGAUUUAAAUUUUCCUAAUUCUUUUUCUGUUUUUCCCAAAAGUUAAAAAUGGCUUUCUACUGCAUUUCAGCACAAAGUUUUCUUCAGUAACUUUUUAAAUAACUUGAACAUUUUUUUUCUAGAAAUUCAUUUAACUCUGAGAGUCAAAGUCAAGUGAAAUAUACUAAAAUCACAGAAGCAAAAUGUUCCAUUUGGAUAGAGGUAUGGUCUGGUACAAUGAGAUUUCAAUUUGCUAUCCUAUUCAGUUCAGAGGCAAUAUUUGAAAAAUGAGCUUUCCUUGCGUGGCAAUACUAGUUCUCAUUGAAUAACAGUCAUGAAAUCAGAGAUCAUGGUGAAAUUAUUUUUGUUUACUGUAAAUUUAAUAAAAUACCAUUAGUUGGGAUGUUCUGAAUGCCA
ensembl:lncRNA